AAGUACUCGGAUGGAUAAGAAAAUGUUCCUUUUUUUUUUUAUUAUUCUCGAAGCAAAAAAAUUACUCGAAGGAGAAAUCGAAAAUAAUAAAACUAUACGUCGAUGUGUUUUCUAUAAUAUGAAAUACUCGUUCGUGAUUGGUCGACAAUUAUCAUCAUUAAGGCAGCUUUUAAUAUAUCCCGUUAAUUUAAUUCUUCGUAUAAAACGAUAAAUUAUCUCUUACGUUUCUUUUUUUUUUUUUCUUCAUAAAAAUGCUCGAAGAAAUAUAUUACAUUUAUUUUAAUAUUAAUAUAUAUAUAUAUUAAUACAUUUUUUGAUUAAUAUAUGUUUCAUGAAUUUUUCAUAGCAUACGUAUGACAAAAAAUCGCAUUUACGAAAGUAGGCUUAAAGAUUCGAGCGCGCUUCCGCGCAUGUGUGAGUGCGUGUACGUGUCGUGUGCGUGCGUAUACAUGUCGUGUUCGUGUGCGUGUGAGUGCGUACGCGUAAAGGUGUGUAUCUACGAGUGCUUUUUCUCAUCGCCUCGGUAAGCGCGUCGUUUUUAGUAGAAAACGAGGACACGAUUGUUUCGCCUCGGUGCUUUUUCGGACGCAACUUGUUUCGCUUCCUGCAAAAGAAAGCUACUUGUGAAACGAGAUACAAUUAUGCGACUUGGUUGGAAUAGUAGAGGAGUAGAAAAAAAAAAGAAGAAAGAAAGAGAGGGAAAGAAAAAAAGAAAGAAUGAAAGAAAGAAGACAUGCAGUAAGUAAAUAAGUAAACUGUAUUGUCCUGUUUUGAUCGUGCAAAGGAUGAGGAAGAGAAAAGAAAAAAGUAAAAAGAAAAAGAAAAAAAAAUAAGAAACAAAAAAGUGAAAAGGAGCGUACGAAGGACGAGAAACGCUUUCGAAAGAGUACACGCGAGUAAAAUUUCGCGAAACUCAUAGGCAAAGCACGUAGACAUCGUCGUUGUCGUUGUUGUCGUCGUCGUCGUCGUCGUCAUCGUUUUCGUUGUCGUCGUUGUCGACGUCGACGUCGUCACAUCGAAGAAAAAGGUUUCACUUCUCGACCACGAAGAAUCGAUCUCGAAUGACUUUCACUGAACGACCAAUUGGACUUCCCUGCUAUCUAUUUCUACAUGAUGGAGAUAAGAAUCAAUUAAACUUGGCAGUGAUUGGCAAAGACCGAGAGUUAAGAUCCUGAGCAUGAAUCAUUCGUAAAGCUUGUAACGGUAUUCGUGGACUCGCUGCAGAGAUCUUCGGAAGCAUGUUUCAAAAUAUUUUCAUUCUUAAUUACCACGACGAUUGGAUAUUCUUAAGGAUAAUCAGGGACCCUUUUCUUCGGACAUUCUAGUCCUUUCUCUUUGUCAAUGAUUACGUAUAAUCAUGAGCUCAACUUUUCAUAAAGGUAAACAUACUACUAUUUUACGAGGCCGCACGUUUGUUUGUAGUUGGUUUAUUUAGAUUAAUCACCUCACAAAAUACGUAUGUCCGAUCACAUAACUAACA